ACGAACGCUGGCGGCAUGCCUAACACAUGCAAGUCGAACGAGACCUUCGGGUCUAGUGGCGCACGGGUGCGUAACGCGUGGGAACCUGCCCUUAGGUUCGGAAUAACUCCCCGAAAGGGGUGCUAAUACCGGAUAAUGUCUUCGGACCAAAGAGUUAUCGCCUUUGGAUGGGCCCGCGUUGGAUUAGCUAGUUGGUAGGGUAAAAGCCUACCAAGGCGACGAUCCAUAGCUGGUCUGAGAGGAUGAUCAGCCACACUGGGACUGAGACACGGCCCAGACUCCUACGGGAGGCAGCAGUGGGGAAUAUUGGACAAUGGGCGAAAGCCUGAUCCAGCAAUGCCGCGUGAGUGAUGAAGGCCUUAGGGUUGUAAAGCUCUUUUACCCGGGAUGAUAAUGACAGUACCGGGAGAAUAAGCUCCGGCUAACUCCGUG
rnacentral:rRNA from 1 species